CCAACGUGGACACCUGGGAGGCCGCUCUCCCCGGGCUCUGCCCCGUGAUGUACAAUCCCUCUCCACAAUGUUGGAGAAGAAGCUGGGCCUCGGGUCUGCUCCUGCGCAUUCCUACAACUUCUCAGAGUCCUUUGGGCAGUGACUGAGGAGAUAAACCAUGCAGGAAACAAUG
rnacentral:snoRNA from 1 species